GAUGAACGCUAGCUACAGGCUUAACACAUGCAAGUCGAGGGGCAUCAUGGAGUCAGCUUGCUGACUUUGAUGGCGACCGGCGCACGGGUGAGUAACGCGUAUCCAACCUUCCCCAUAGUAGGGCAUAGCCCGUAGAAAUGCGGAUUAAUACCCUAUGUUUUCCUUUGCAGGCAUCUAAUGAGGAACAAAGGUUUCACCGCUAUGGGAGUGGGGAUGCGUCUGAUUAGGCAGUCGGCGGGGUAACGGCCCACCGAGCCAUCGAUCAGUAGGGGUUCUGAGAGGAAGGUCCCCCACAUUGGUACUGAGACACGGACCAAACUCC
rnacentral:rRNA from 1 species